AUUUAGAACUUAAUUUACACAAAAUGAGGACUGCCGUAAUUGUGUGUGCUGUACUUGCCUUUGGUAAGCGCGCUUUCAUCCUAUAAAAUAUAAACUAUUCUUAUUAAUUUUUAUGGACUUUGUUUUGUUUUGGGGUUUUUUUUUUAUUACUUUCCGCAAAGAAAUUUAGACAAAAAGCAUAUCGAUGUUUUUUAUUUGUGUUUUUUUUUUCAAAUUUUUUAUUCAUAUUUAUUCUUUCAUGUAUAAACCAAAUGAUUUAUUUUUAUUGCAUUGGGUGGAAACAGCGAGAUCCGGGGAUAUCUCGUCUCCUUAAUUAUGUCCAACAAAUCAGUGUCUAAGUCUAUUUUCACCGGAGUUCUUAAGAAUGACAUACCUGGUAACUUUCCGGGGAACUAUUUUACCCGACGAUAAAUAUAUUCAUCAAUACCAUUAAUGUUUUUAGCGUAUGUACUGGCCGAGCGAUGUAACACGGUAGAUGAGUGCGCGGACACGAUGUGUGGGGUCAACGCUUCACACAUAGAAUGUGACCACCAUUACUGCACGUGCGUCGCUGACGCCAUGAGUAAGUUAUUGACCACCACCUUCCUUCCCCCUCCCUCACCAAAACAGGCAUAGCUGCUACAAAUCCUGAAGGUUUAUUCCCAAGUAGCUAACAUUUUGAAAUUCGUAUUCCCACUUAGCUAAAUUUUACCUUAUUAAGGUCAAUAUUUGAAAGACUAUAAUUCACCUGUAAUUAAUUUCAUCUGAUCUUUGAUACCCUUACUUGUGCGCCAUUCCCACUUAGCUAAAAUCAUGCAGUCACCCAUAGAAAAUUCAGAAUUUUAGGUAAGUGGGAAGAUAGCAUCCUGAGUGCACGUAGGAUAAGAAUUACUUUUAAUCUAUCGCGCCCAUAUUUUCUAUCUUCAAAGCGUAUGAUAUAAUUAAGUUCCUUGAAUGCAAUGAUAUAUAUGUAUUAGAUUUACCAGACAUAAGAAGACUGGUGUUUUGUUCCAGCUUGUAGCGACAGAAGCGACUGCAUGAUGAUGGGGAGAUGCGCCAAGCGUGACGAGGAGUUCCACUGUAUUGACGGGGCCUGCAAGUGUAUGAAGAUGCACUGAGGCGGCCACGUGGUGUUUGUCUAAUAAAAUAUGAAUAAAAACC
rnacentral:misc_RNA from 1 species